rnacentral:lncRNA from 1 species
AGCGACAUCUUUUGAAACAUCAAUAUUACGCAAGAAAAAAAUUUAGGCGGAAGAAAAAAAAAAAAAAAAAAUAAUAAUAAUAAUAAUAAUCAGAACAAAUUCAAUAGGUCUUUCCACGGAAAGGUGGAAAGACCUAAUUAAAAACCAAUUGUUCAAAGAACAAUUGAAGGUCUUUCCACUAGUAAAGAUCUAUUCUAUUAUCAAAAUAUUAAAAAUCAAACUAGAAUGUCAGUUCCUAUGACUUUAUAAUGUAUAAAUAUGAAUUUAAAGCAAAGGUCAAAAUAUAGAACGUCCUAUUAACCUUUGACCUUGACCUUAAUUUCAAGGUCACCAUCCAAGGACCUCAAAUAAAAAGACCCUAGGUCUGUAAUAUGUAUGGUUAAUGAGUUAUAUCACUUAAGGCAUGAUUUUAAAUAUAAGAUGGGCGAAAAUUCUCAUUUAUUGUUUACGCACCCUUCCAACCAAAAUUUAUAAGUUACAACAUGUCGCA